rnacentral:rRNA from 1 species
CCUCACAGUGGGUAACCACAGGGAGGUAUCUAGUNNNNNNCGGGUGCGUAACACGUGAGAAACCUACCCCGGAGAUCGGGAUAGCCCAGGGAAACUUGGAUUAAUACCGAAUACCCUCCGACCGUCGCAUGUCGGACGGAGGAAAUGGUCCGCCGCUCCGGGAUGGUCUCGCGGCCUAUCAGCUAGUUGGUGAGGUAACGGCUCACCAAGGCAACGACGGGUAGCUGGUCUGAGAGGACGAUCAGCCACACUGGGACUGAGACACGGCCCAGACUCCUACGGGAGGCAGCAGCAGGGAAUAUUGCACAAUGGGCGCAAGCCUGAUGCAGCGACGCCGCGUGAGGGAUGAAGGCCUUCGGGUUGUAAACCUCUUUCAGGAGGGAAGAAGCGAAAGUGACGGUACCUCCAGAAGAAGACCCGGCCAACUACGUGCCAGCAGCCGCGGUAAUACGUAGGGGUCAAGCGUUGUCCGGAUUCAUUGGGCGUAAAGAGCUCGUAGGCGGCUCAGUAAGUCGGUCGUGAAAGCCCGGGGCUCAACCCCGGGACGCCGAUCGAAACUGCUGUGGCUAGGGUNCGGUAGAGGAGAGUGNNAUUCCCGGUGUAGCGGNGAAAUGCNCAGAUNUCGGGAGGAACACCAGUAGCGAANGCGGCUCUCUGGGCCGA